rnacentral:rRNA from 1 species
UACGAAGGGUGCAAGCGUUACUCGGAAUUACUGGGCGUAAAGCGUGCGUAGGUGGUUUGUUAAGUCUGUUGUGAAAGCCCCGGGCUCAACCUGGGAAUGGCAAUGGAUACUGGCAGGCUAGAGUGCGGUAGAGGGUAGUGGAAUUCCCGGUGUAGCGGUGAAAAUGCGUAGAGAUCGGGAGGAACACCAGUGGCGAAGGCGGCUACCUGGACCAGCACUGACACUGAGGCACGAAAGCGUGGGGAGCGAAACAGG